rnacentral:rRNA from 1 species
UACGUAGGUGGCAAGCGUUGUCCGGAUUUAUUGGGUUUAAAGGGUGCGUAGGCGGCUUAAUAAGUCAGUGGUGAAAGCCGAUCGCUUAACGAUCGAACUGCCAUUGAUACUGCUAGGCUUGAGUAUAGUUGAGGUAGGCGGAAUUGACAGUGUAGCGGUGAAAUGCAUAGAUAUUGUCAAGAACACCAAAUUGCGAAGGCAGCUUACUAAAGUAUAACUGACGCUGAGGCACGAAAAGUGCCGGGG